rnacentral:rRNA from 1 species
UCCCCUAGUAACUGCGAGUGAAGCGGGAAAAGCUCAAAUUNAAAAUCNGGCGGUCUUUGGUCGUCCGAGUUGUAAUCUAGAGAAGUGAUAUCCGCGUUGGACCGUGUACAAGUCUCCUGGAAUGGAGCGUCAUAGAGGGUGAGAAUCCCGUCUUUGACACGGACUGCCAGUGCUUUGUGAUACGCUCUCAAAGAGUCGAGUUGUUUGGGAAUGCAGCUCAAAAUGGGUGGUAAAUUCCAUCUAAAGCUAAAUAUUGGCGAGAGACCGAUAGCGAACAAGUACCGUGAGGGAAAGAUGAAAAGAACUUUGGAAAGAGAGUUAAACAGUACGUGAAAUUGCUGAAAGGGAAACGCUUGAAGUCAGUCGCGUUAUCCGGGGAUCAACCUUGCUUUUGCUGGGUGUACUUUCCGGUUGACGGGUCAGCAUCAAUUUUGACCGUUGGAUAAAGUGUAGGGGAAUGUGGCAUCUUCGGAUGUGUUAUAGCCCUUGCUCGCAUACAACGGUUGGGAUUGAGGAANNNNNNACGCCGCAAGGCCGGG